rnacentral:rRNA from 1 species
UACAUAGGCAGCAAGCGUUGUUCGGAGUUACUGGGCGUAAAGAGUGCGUAGGCGGUCCUGUAAGUUUGGUGUGAAAUCUCCCGGCUCAACUGGGAGGGUGCGCCGAAGACUGCAGGGCUUGAGUAUGGGAGAGGUAAGCGGAAUUCCUGGUGUAGCGGUGAAAUGCGUAGAUAUCUGGAGGAACACCGGUGGCGAAGGCGGCAUCCUGGACCGAGAUUGACGCUGAGGCGCGAAAGCCAGGGGAGCAAACGGG